GCAUAUUGCAUCUCAAUGCAAAACGGCUGUAUCAUCUUCAACUGCAAGUACUUCAAAGAGUGACGUGAAGUCAGCAACGAGUGGUGAAGGUGGCAGCACUGGGAAGAAAUGGCCGACCGGGACGAAUGGCGCUAGUGUCGCAACGAAACGUGCUUUUUACGGUUCGACGAGUGAUGGUCACAUCCCUAGUAGCGAAGACGUGAUUGGCGAAUCGAGCGCAAUGGCGGCGAAGCAUUGUCUACUAGCUGUCAUGGCCGGCGAGGUAAACAAAACACAGCGGACGAUUACACCGAAAAAGAAGCCUGUGAAACGAGUUCAUGUGUUGGGAAAAGAUGUUAUAGCGUUGGUUGACUCUGGGUGCGAAGUUCUAGUGCAGACAUUGAAAAACGGGUGAACGACCUGGUGGAGUCAUACGUACCGCGUAAGACGAAGGAAGCGCCUGUCAAGUUGAAAAUUGUGCUAAAAGAUGACAUCCCUGUUGCACAACGACCCCGAAGACUGGCUCCAGCGGAACAAGAGGAGGUUGACCGACAAGUGAAUAAGUGGCUUGAAGACGGCGUGGUAAGGAGACUGAGGAUGAUGCUGUGGUUCGACUGGGUGAAGUAUUGGAGGUGGCUUCGCAAUAUGGCCUCGAGAUUAAUUGGAAAAAGUCGCAGCUUGUCCAACGACAAGUGGAGUACCUUGGACAUGUGAUCCAAGAUGGGCAGGUGCGGCCUUCACCUGAAAAGACGGAUGCGGUCGCUAGAUUCCCGGAGCCUACCAAUACCAAACAACUACAAAGCUUCAUAGGCCUCACAUCCUAUUUUAGGAAGUACAUACAAGAUUUUGCAAUGAUUGCCAAGCCGCUGACAGAUCUGUUAA